GAUGAACGUUGGCGGUGUGCCUAAUACAUGCAAGUCGAACGGAGUUAGUAGCAAUACUGGCUCAGUGGCGAACGGGUGAGUAACGCGUUGGUGAUCUGCCUUGAAGUGUGGAAUAACGUUUCGAAAGGAACGCUAAUACCGCAUGUGCUCUCGAUUUUCAGAAAGUUGAGAGUAAAGGAUUUAUUCGCUUCAAGAGGAGCCUGCGUCCCAUCAGCUGGUUGGUAGGGUAACGGCCUACCAAGGCUAUGACGGGUAGGGGACCUGAGAGGGUGGCCCCCCACAAGGGAACUGAAACACGGUCCAUACACCUACGGGUGGCAGCAGUAGGGAAUAUUAGAAAUGGACGAAAGUCUGAGCUAGCAACACCGCGUGUGCGAAGAAGGCCUUCGGGUCGUAAAGCACUUUUUGGAAGGAAUAGGAAGGAAUGUACUUCCAGAAUAAGUCUCGGCUAACUACGUGCCAGCCGCCGCAGUAAGAC
rnacentral:rRNA from 1 species